rnacentral:rRNA from 1 species
UAGGGAAUCUUCCACAAUGGACGAAAGUCUGAUGGAGCAACGCCGCGUGUGUGAUGAAGGGUUUCGGCUCGUAAAACACUGUUGUAAGAGAAGAAUGACAUUGAGAGUAACUGUUCAAUGUGUGACGGUAUCUUACCAGAAAGGAACGGCUAAAUACGUGCCGG